UACAGAGGGUGCGAACGUUGCUCGGAAUUACUGGGUGUAAAGCGCGUGUAGGCGGGUUCGCAAGUCAGACGUGAAAUCCCCCGGGCUCAACUCGGGAACUGCGUCUGAAACUGCAAGCCUUGAGUACCGGAGGAGGGUGGCGGAAUUCCUGGUGUAGAGGUGAAAUUCGUAGAUAUCAGGAGGAACACCGGUGGCGAAGGCGGCCACCUGGACGGUAACUGACGCUGAGACGCGAAAGCGUGGGGAGCAAACAGG
rnacentral:rRNA from 1 species